UUGGAUUGAAGAGAGCUCCC
rnacentral:miRNA from 2 species